rnacentral:rRNA from 1 species
CCUACGGGAGGCAGCAGUGGGGAAUAUUGCGCAAUGGGCGAAAGCCUGACGCAGCGACGCCGCGUGAGGGAUGAAGGUCUUCGGAUCGUAAACCUCUGUCAGCAGGGAAGAACGGUCACUGUGCUAAUCAGCAGUGAAUUGACGGUACCUGCAAAGGAAGCACCGGCUAACUCCGUGCCAGCAGCCGCGGUAAUACGGAGGGUGCGAGCGUUAAUCGGAAUUACUGGGCGUAAAGCGCUCGUAGGCGGUAUGUCAAGUCAAGGGGGAAAUCCCCGCGCUCAACGUGGGAACUGCCUUUGAAACUGGCAAACUGGAGUGUGUGGGAGGAUAGUGGAAUUCCAGGGGUAGGAGUGAAAUCCGUAGAUAUCUGGAGGAACAUCAGUGGCGAAGGCGACUAUCUGGCACAUAACUGACGCUGAGGAGCGAAAGCGUGGGUAGCAAACAGGAUUAGAUACCCCAGUAGUC